GAUGAACGCUAGCGGCAGGCCUAAUACAUGCAAGUCGAACGGUGUCUUCGGACAUAGUGGCGCACGGGUGCGUAACACGUAUGCAACCUACCUUACAUUGGGGGAUAGCCUUUCGAAAGGGAGAUUAAUACCGCAUAAGACAGUAGUCUGGCAUCAGACAGCUGUUAAAGAUUUAUCGAUGUAAGCUGGGCAUGCGUCCAAUUAGUUAGUUGGCGAGGUAACGGCUCACCAAGACUAUGAUUGGUAGGGGAACUGAGAGGUCAAUCCCCCACACUGGCACUGAGAUACGGGCCAGACUCCUACGGGAGGCAGCAGUAGGGAAUAUUGGGCAAUGGACGCAAGUCUGACCCAGCCAUGCCGCGCGCAGGAAGAAGGCGUUAUGCGUUGUAAACUGCUUUUAUACAGGAAGAAACGACUCUUGCGAGAGGCAUUGACGGUACUGUAUGAAUAAGCACCGGCUAACUCCGUGCCAGCAGCCGCGGUAAAAC
rnacentral:rRNA from 1 species